rnacentral:lncRNA from 1 species
GGUAAAAGGACAGUUUUAUUCUUGGUACCUCAGCGGGGGAAGCGCGGGCGCGGAGCUGCCGCGGGGAUUUUGGCCUGUCGCAGGAUGGGGGGGUGGACCUGAGCAGCCCGACUGCAAUCCCCCUCACGAUUCCUUCCCCCCCUCAGGGAGAAUUCCAUACCAAUUUCUGCGAGAGAUUGGAAGAGAAGUAAGGGCUGCAGAAGUAAAAAAAAGGCAAUUUGCUGUCGAUUGGCUGCUGGUAUCUAUAUUGCAGAAGCAGAUGCUCAAGAAAUUAUUCAGAGGCUUUAAAUGGUGUUUAAUUGGAAUCACCUGGAAAAAACAGGCAGUACUUGGAAAAUCUGCCUGA